GACGAACGCUGGCGGCGUGCUUAACACAUGCAAGUCGAGCGGAAAGGCCCUUUCGGGGGUACUCGAGCGGCGAACGGGUGAGUAACACGUGAGUAAUCUGCCCUUGGCUUUGGGAUAACCACCGGAAACGGUGGCUAAUACCGGAUAUGACGGGCUCCGGCAUCGGGGUUCGUGGAAAGUUUUUUCGGCCAGGGAUGUGCUCGCGGCCUAUCAGCUUGUUGGUGGGGUAAUGGCCUACCAAGGCUUCGACGGGUAGCCGGCCUGAGAGGGUGACCGGCCACACUGGGACUGAGACACGGCCCAGACUCCUACGGGAGGCAGCAGUGGGGAAUAUUGGACAAUGGGCGAAAGCCUGAUCCAGCAACGCCGCGUGAGGGAUGACGGCC
rnacentral:rRNA from 1 species